GUUGUGUGUGCCUGUGGGAGUUUUGUUUGUUUUGGAACUAUGGUUAUUUUAGAACACUGUCAAAAUAAGUCUGUCAUUAUCUUUGACAAAAUGGGCUAAUAUUCCAUUGUAAAUUGAAGAAUGAUGCCGAUGAUGGUGACAUGUAAUGGAGGGCCUUCUCAUCAGCAACAAAAUUAAUCAGAGUUCAUCUAUGAGCCAGAGAAUGAUUCAGCUUCCACUUGCGAUCCUGCAUAUAGAUUGAAGUUCAUGAAAUGAUAUGAUAGGCGGAUCAACACAAAGUUAGCUGAAGAUUAUGAAGCAUGUCAGGGCCUUGAAUCACCAUCUUUUCAAGAGGCUUUGUCAGAUAACAGGAGCAGAAUAUUAUCAACCGCACGGAAUAAGACAGGUCAUGAAGUGCUUAUUGAACUUGAAGCAGAACUUUGCGUGGGUCCUUAAGAGACAAAGAAAAGGAAAGCCAAUUCUCCAAGCAAUUCUACUGGGAGGAGCUCGCUCACAGUUUGGUUUAUUAGGCACAUAGUUCUGGUCAUUCUGAAUGAGGUAAAUCUUUCAGUUCAAGGUCCUGGAGUCAUCAACCUCAAUCUUCUGAAAAACAAAACAAAAAAGUACAAGCUCUUUUGGCCAAGCAUACACACUUGGAAGAAUAACUUAGAGAGACAAAACCUCAAACUUUCCAUCACUGAAGGAAAUGCUUCUACAGGCUGGAAUUGAGAGUGACAAAGAAGAAGCUUUCUUGAUUUCUUUGCAGUCAGAAAACUGUAGCAACCUGAAAGCCCUCAGAACACUUUUGAGCAUUACUUCUGCUCAAAUAAUCUUCAAGUGGAAAGUGAAUCUGUAAUCCUUUCCUUGUUGACACAGAUGGCAGUGAUGAAGCAGACCUUGCCAAAUAUGACUUCAUGGACUUGAGGACAAAGGAAAUGAAGUAACAAGAAUUCAACUUGAAGAGUUGUAGAGAAUCCUACAGCUAGAAGACUUGUAGGUGUCCUUGAUCCAAACCCAUUCUUAGCUGGCCACUGAUUCUAUUUGUUACCACAGACUUUACUGGGUCAGGGUUUUGACAAGAGAUUUUCACAUUUUGAGGUAUAUGGGGUAACUAUUCAGGUUCAAAACUGAUUUGGCUUGAGCUAAAGAAGCCUUACUUAUGGCCUGUCAAACAUACAUUAGCCAUCUACUUUAACCAUUGAAGUAAAGAACGUGCUCUCUUAAGAUAAGAAUGCAUACUUCCCCUUCUACCCCUUUUGGUAACCCCCAUAUUAGUCCCCUUCCCAACAUCAGGAUCAUGUUGACCUGCUAAUUUGCCACUGAAUACCUCUUUGAAAUUUUGAUGAAUAUGUAUCCUGGGCAUGUGUUUUUUUUGCUGGGAAAGAUUUGCCCUCAGCUAACAUCUGUUGCCAAUCUUCCUCAUUUUUUCUUUUCCCUCCCCAAAGCCCCAGUACAUAGUUGUAUAUUCUACUUGUAGGUCCUAUUCGUUCUUCUAUGUGAGCCCUCACCACAGCAUGGCUCCUGACAGACAAGCGGUGUGGUUCCAUGCCUGGGAACUGAAUGCAGGCCACCAAAGUGGAUUGUGCCAAACUUUAACCACUAGGCCUUCAGGGCUGGCUCCUGGGCAUGUUUAACGUAUGUUCUUUGUUCUAAAGAGAUAUAAGACUGUACCAAAAACCAGGCUUCUCUGGAAUACUUCUUUCCUUUCUGGAAAAAGCCUUCCCAAGUUAUAAUCCCCACUCUGGCUCAAGUAAAAAUCACGUAUAUCUCUUACCUAUGGAAUGGUUGUUCAUUAUUUUGCUUUGACAUUUCCAACCCUUAUUUCUAUCAAAGGAAAAGUUAAAAUCAAUUGUAUGAUGAUGUUUGUCUUAUCUUUUCAAAAACCACAUAACUUCAUAUUAAACCAAAGGAGCCUCCCUGGAGGCAGUUACAGGAAAGUAGCUGUGGUAGGCAGAAUUCAAAGAUGGUCCCCAAGUAUCCCAACCCUGGGAUACACAGCUUGUAUAAUCUCCUCCCCUUGUGCAGGCAGAACCUAUGAAUAUGAUAGGUUAUCACUCUUGUGAUUAGGUUUCUAAUCAGUUGUCUUUGAGUUAAUCCAAAGGGACAUGGUCCAGCUGACCAGGAUCUAAUGAGGUGAGUCCUUAAAACGGGCUGAGUCCCUUAGGAAGUCAGAGACAUAUGCUACUAUUGGCCUGGAAGCAAGCAAACCUCCAUGCCAGGAACCGCCAAUGGAGGCCACAUGGCAAGGAACUUAGGGCAGUAUCCAGGACUGAGAGUAGUCCCCAGCCAACAGCUAGCAAGAAAAUGGGGAUCUCAGACCUGUAAUCAAAAUUCUGCCAACAAUCUGCAUGGGCCUUGAAGGGUACCCCAAGCCUUAGGUGACAACUGAGCGCCCUCAGCUUCACUGUGCUCAGACUUGUGACCACAGAAACCUUGAAAUAAUAAAUGAGUGCUGGUUUCUUUUUUUUUUCCCCCCAAAAAAAACCAAUGAACAAAAUGGACAAACAAAAUAAAGCAAAGGAGCAGCAUCUUUUUUAUUAAA
rnacentral:lncRNA from 1 species